GAACUCUGGUAUUGAUUGGUGCUUGCAUCAUGAUUUACAUUUGAGUGAGUGGCGAACUGGUGAGUAACACGUGGGAAACCUGCCCAGAAGCGGGGGAUAACACCUGGAAACAGAUGCUAAUACCGCAUAACAACUUGGACCGCAUGGUCCGAGUUUGAAAGAUGGCUUCGGCUAUCACUUUUGGAUGGUCCCGCGGCGUAUUAGCUAGAUGGUGGGGUAACGGCUCACCAUGGCAAUGAUACGUAGCCGACCUGAGAGGGUAAUCGGCCACAUUGGGACUGAGACACGGCCCAAACUCCUACGGGAGGCAGCAGUAGGGAAUCUUCCACAAUGGACGAAAGUCUGAUGGAGCAACGCCGCGUGAGUGAAGAAGGGUUUCGGCUCGUAAAACUCUGUUGUUAAAGAAGAACAUAUCUGAGAGUAACUGUUCAGGUAUUGACGGUAUUUAACCAGAAAGCCACGGCUAACUACGUGCCAGCAGCCGCGGUAAUACGUAGGUGGCAAGCGUUGUCCGGAUUUAUUGGGCGUAAAGCGAGCGCAGGCGGUUUUUUAAGUCUGAUGUGAAAGCCUUCGGCUCAACCGAAGAAGUGCAUCGGAAACUGGGAAACUUGAGUGCAGAAGAGGACAGUGGAACUCCAUGUGUAGCGGUGAAAUGCGUAGAUAUAUGGAAGAACACCAGUGGCGAAGGCGGCUGUCUGGUCUGUAACUGACGCUGAGGCUCGAAAGUAUGGGUAGCAAACAGGAUUAGAUACCCUGGUAGUCCAUACCGUAAACGAUGAAUGCUAAGUGUUGGAGGGUUUCCGCCCUUCAGUGCUGCAGCUAACGCAUUAAGCAUUCCGCCUGGGGAGUACGGCCGCAAGGCUGAAACUCAAAGGAAUUGACGGGGGCCCGCACAAGCGGUGGAGCAUGUGGUUUAAUUCGAAGCUACGCGAAGAACCUUACCAGGUCUUGACAUACUAUGCAAAUCUAAGAGAUUAGACGUUCCCUUCGGGGACAUGGAUACAGGUGGUGCAUGGUUGUCGUCAGCUCGUGUCGUGAGAUGUUGGGUUAAGUCCCGCAACGAGCGCAACCCUUAUUAUCAGUUGCCAGCAUUAAGUUGGGCACUCUGGUGAGACUGCCGGUGACAAACCGGAGGAAGGUGGGGAUGACGUCAAAUCAUCAUGCCCCUUAUGACCUGGGCUACACACGUGCUACAAUGGAUGGUACAACGAGUUGCGAACUCGCGAGAGUAAGCUAAUCUCUUAAAGCCAUUCUCAGUUCGGAUUGUAGGCUGCAACUCGCCUACAUGAAGUCGGAAUCGCUAGUAAUCGCGGAUCAGCAUGCCGCGGUGAAUACGUUCCCGGGCCUUGUACACACCGCCCGUCACACCAUGAGAGUUUGUAACACCCAAAGUCGGUGGGGUA
rnacentral:rRNA from 1 species